UACGGAGGGUGCAAGCGUUAUCCGGAUUUACUGGGUUUAAAGGGCGUGUAGGCGAGCUUUUAAGUCAGUGGUGAAAUCUCCGGGCUCAACCCGGAAACUGCCAUUGAUACUAUUAGUCUUGAAUUCUGUUGAGGUAGGCGGAAUAAGUCAUGUAGCGGUGAAAUGCAUAGAUAUGACUUAGAACACCAAUUGCGAAGGCAGCUUACUAAACAGAUAUUGACGCUGAGGCACGAAAGCGUGGGGAUCAAACAGG
rnacentral:rRNA from 1 species